CACGUAGGCACCAAGCGUUGUCCGGAUUUAUUGGGCGUAAAGAGCUCGUAGGCGGUUCGGUAAGUCGGAUGUGAAAACUUUGGGCUCAACCCAAAGCGUGCACUCGAUACUGCUGUGACUAGAGUUCGGUAGGGGAGUGGGGAAUUCCUAGUGUAGCGGUGAAAUGCGCAGAUAUUAGGAGGAACACCGGUGGCGAAGGCGCCACUCUGGGCCGAAACUGACGCUGAGGAGCGAAAGCGUGGGGAGCGAACAGG
rnacentral:rRNA from 1 species